rnacentral:lncRNA from 1 species
GGGAGAGGGACAGAGGGCUAAGGAGGUUCUGAUCUUUGCUGGAGAGUGUUGACUUUCCGUCUGUCUCCACGGCCUCCUCAGUGGGAGGCCCACCCAUUGGUGAUAAAUUGACACUUGGGAAGAUCAAAGGUUCUUCAGGAUGGUAAUUCAUUCUGAUGAUCCAUCAGUUGUUUGGGUUUGUCUAGGUGGGGAAAGAAAGGGUGGUUCAGCUUGAGGUGCCCCUAAAACGUUGCCUGCGUGGCAGUGGAGCUGAGGAGGCUGGGCAGCUGGACACACCCCCACCUGGGCCAUUGUCAAUGUUGUCAGUUGUCCUGACACCUGACUGACUUGUUCAUUCGGCUGAGGGGAAGGAGGCACGCGACUGAGUGACAAUGGGUGUGAACCGACCUUUCUCUGUCAGCCUGCAGUGGGUCUGCCACCCUCUCAGGGAGAGCUCAAUGGCUGGAACGCACUGCAAGACAGAAGAAGAAUUGGAGUGGGGGCUGAUUUUGUCAUCACCAGUGAGUCCUCAGGGCUGUGGGUCUGUCGAGGCCCGGCAGCUGGCCGGUGAAGAAGAUGCAAAGAGGUCUAUGUGUAAAGCAUAAC